UACGUAGGGGGCAAGCGUUGUCCGGAUUUAUUGGGCGUAAAGAGCGUGUAGGCGGCUUUACAGGUCCGUUGUGAAAACUCGAGGCUCAACCUCGAGACGCCGGUGGAAACCGUAAGGCUAGAGUCCGGAAGAGGAGAGUGGAAUUCCUGGUGUAGCGGUGAAAUGCGCAGAUAUCAGGAGGAGCACCGGUGGCGAAGGCGGGUCUCUGGGCCGAUACUGACGCUGAGGAGCGAAAGCGUGGGGAGCGAACAGG
rnacentral:rRNA from 1 species